GCCCCACUGAUUGCAGUAGGCCUCGACGGCAGGUAGGGGUGCGGGUGUCGCAGGUUCGAGUCCUGCCGGGGCACCA
rnacentral:tRNA from 1 species